GACUAUACUUGAACAGGAUCUGUUCUAUAGUACAUCUUGGUCUGUGAUCUCUAUUGCAGACAUGUCCCUAGAGCCGGACGAUGACCAGAGGCUUGGGUACCGUUGCGCGAAUACCGCUGGCCAGAGUUGGUGCAAACCUGGGCUCGGCCCAGCCUGAUGACCGUCUCGUUGCGCUCAUUCCGCCGGCGGUGAAGGCAUCCAAGUGAUCUGUCGGGUU
rnacentral:snoRNA from 1 species